UUCUGGAGGGGGGCGGUCCACAUUCUAAACCGCUUCCACCUUCUUGUUUGAGACUGGGUCUUUCACCAAACUUAGAGCUCACUGACGUGACAAGACCAGCUGGCCAGCAAGCCCCCGGCAUCCUCCUGCUUCUGGCAAACGCUUCGUCAUCCGGGCCACCUCCUCACCCCUUGUCCUUGUCCCUUCAUGCAGUUUUUAAGCCCCCCCCGUUACUGUGUCUAUAAAGCUCUGAUGAUGGUUUUUCAGCCAUUCUCUCCCAACUGUCCCGGUUUAGAAAAAUGGGGAAGAAAUGUUACUGCAAAAAGAUCAGAGGUCAAGUUCCCGUCCUGGGCUCUGUUGACAUCUGGAGAAGACACUUAGCUACAGCACAGUCUCACUGGAAUGUCAUCAAUUCCAGUUCUCAGUCCAAGUCACCAACAUCUCUAAGUUCUAGAAGUCUCUUGCUAAGAGAAUGUCUCCAGGAGAUAUUUUGAGUCAGUCUUCUCAGGAGAAUAAA